rnacentral:lncRNA from 1 species
CAUUUCUUGGAAUUCUUGUGAAAUCAAAUGGAAACGUAUUGCAUAGCUCUGAAGAGCUUAUAAAUAAAGCAAGGAAAGUGAUGUUUUCAAUUACAACUUAUACUGGUUCCUUAAAUAAUCUGCCAGUUAACGUAGCUUGCAGUCUUUUUGAUUCUAUAGUUAAACCAAUAGCCACUUAUAAUUCAGAUGUCACUUAUAUGGACACUUUUGUUUCGAAAUUUAGAGCAGAAAAACGGGCAAAUACAUGUAUCUCCAAAACAAAUGUAGACCCCUUAAUUUUACUGAUAAUUACACCUUAUGUAAGAAUCCGGGGUUUUGAUUGGUUAAUAGCCAGUGUAUUUUUCAGCAAUUUACUGUUAUCAAAUGAAUAUCGUUCAUUUUUAACGCCGCCGGGGUAUUUGCUAAAAGGAUAUGCCUUUUUUACCCUCUCUGCCGUGGUAUUUGCCAAAAAAUACUCUAUCCGACUGGACGCUUGUAACGUCACGAUCAUCAAUGCGUUUUAGUACAUUAACAUUCGGUGUAAUUAAACAGAUAUAUCAUGUUAUUGAGGGGUAUUUGCGAAAAAUACCAGUCUUGAGAAUGAAUUUCCCUCGCCUUACGGCUCGUGAAAUUUAACAUUUUCUCGACUGGUAUUUUUCGCAAAUACCCCUCCUUAACAUGAUAUAUCUGUUCAUAAAUCAAGUUUAGAAAAAUACAUUUUUCUUUCUGUAAAUAUAUCCUCG